rnacentral:rRNA from 1 species
AUUGAACGCUGGCGGCAUGCCUAACACAUGCAAGUCGAACGGUAACAGGAAGACGCUUGCUGCUGUGCUGCGGAGUGGCGGGCAAGAGAGUGAUAUCUGGGAAACUGCGUGGGGGAGGGGGAUGAAUACUGGAAACGGUAGCUAAUACCGCAUAGUGUCGCAAGGCGAGAGAGGGGGACCUUCGGGCCUCUUGCCAUCGGAUGGGCCCAGAUGGGAUUAGCUAGUAGGUGGGGUAACGGCUCACCUAGGCGACGAUCCCUAGCUGGUCUGAGAGGAUGAACAGCCACACUGGAACUGAGACACGGUCCAGACUCCUACGGGAGGCAGCAGUGGGGAAUAUUGCACAAAGGGCGCAAGCCUGAUGCAGCCAUGCCGCGUGUAUGAAGAAGGCCUUCGGGUUGUAAAGUACUUUUAGCCGGGAGGAAGGGAGUCAAGUUAAUACCUUUGCUUAUUGACGUUACCCGAAGAAGAAGCACCGGCUAACUACGUG